rnacentral:rRNA from 1 species
UACGGAGGGUGCAAGCGUUAUCCGGAUUCACUGGGUUUAAAGGGUGCGUAGGUGGGUUGGUAAGUCAGUGGUGAAAUCUCCGAGCUUAACUUGGAAACUGCCAUUGAUACUAUCAGUCUUGAAUACCGUGGAGGUCAGCGGAAUAUGUCAUGUAGCGGUGAAAUGCUUAGAUAUGACAUAGAACACCAAUUGCGAAGGCAGCUGACUUCGCGAAUAUUGACACUGAUGCACGAAAGCGUGGGGAUCAAACAGG